ACGGCCGCAUCACGUUGAAACACCGGUUCCCGUACGGUCACCGAAGUUAAGCAACAUCGAGUCUGGUCAGUAUCUUGAUGGGUGACCGGUUGGGAAUGCCACGUUUUGUCA